rnacentral:rRNA from 1 species
GAUUGUCCUUUGGACAAUGGUAGGAGAGCGUUCUAAGGGCGUUGAAGCAUGAUCGUAAGGACAUGUGGAGCGCUUAGAAGUGAGAAUGCCGGUGUGAGUAGCGAAAGACGGGUGAGAAUCCCGUCCACCGAUUGACUAAGGUUUCCAGAGGAAGGCUCGUCCGCUCUGGGUUAGUCGGGUCCUAAGCUGAGGCCGACAGGCGUAGGCGAUGGAUAACAGGUUGAUAUUCCUGUACCACCUAUAAUCGUUUUAAUCGAUGGGGGGACGCAGUAGGAUAGGCGAAGCGUGCGAUUGGAUUGCACGUCUAAGCAGUAAGGCUGAGUAUUAGGCAAAUCCGGUACUCGUUAAGGCUGAGCUGUGAUGGGGAGAAGACAUUGUGUCUUCGAGUCGUUGAUUUCACACUGCCGAGAAAAGCCUCUAGAUAGAAAAUAGGUGCCCGUACCGCAAACCGACACAGGUAGUCAAGAUGAGAAUUCUAAGGUGAGCGAGCGAACUCUCGUUAAGGAACUCGGCAAAAUGACCCCGUAACUUCGGGAGAAGGGGUGCUCUUUAGGGUUAACGCCCAGAAGAGCCGCAGUGAAUAGGCCCAAGCGACUGUUUAUCAAAAACACAGGUCUCUGCUAAACCGUAAGGUGAUGUAUAGGGGCUGACGCCUGCCCGGUGCUGGAAGGUUAAGAGGAGUGGUUAGCUUCUGCGAAGCUACGAAUCGAAGCCCCAGUAAACGGCGGCCGUAACUAUAACGGUCCUAAGGUAGCGAAAUUCCUUGUCGGGUAAGUUCCGACCCGCACGAAAGGCGUAACGAUUUGGGCACUGUCUCAACGAGAGACUCGGUGAAAUCAUAGUACCUGUGAAGAUGCAGGUUACCCGCGACAGGACGGAAAGACCCCGUGGAGCUUUACUGUAGCCUGAUAUUGAAAUUCGGCACAGCUUGUACAGGAUAGGUAGGAGCCUUUGAAACGUGAGCGCUAGCUUACGUGGAGGCGCUGGUGGGAUACUACCCUAGCUGUGUUGGCUUUCUAACCCGCACCACUUAUCGUGGUGGGAGACAGUGUCAGGCGGGCAGUUUGACUGGGGCGGUCGCCUCCUAAAAGGUAACGGAGGCGCUCAAAGGUUCCCUCAGAAUGGUUGGAAAUCAUUCAUAGAGUGUAAAGGCAUAAGGGAGCUUGACUGCGAGACCUACAAGUCGAGCAGGGUCGAAAGACGGACUUAGUGAUCCGGUGGUUCCGCAUGGAAGGGCCAUCGCUCAACGGAUAAAAGCUACCCCGGGGAUAACAGGCUUAUCUCCCCCAAGAGUUCACAUCGACGGGGAGGUUUGGCACCUCGAUGUCGGCUCAUCGCAUCCUGGGGCUGUAGUCGGUCCCAAGGGUUGGGCUGUUCGCCCAUUAAAGCGGUACGCGAGCUGGGUUCAGAACGUCGUGAGACAGUUCGGUCCCUAUCCGUCGUGGGCGUAGGAAAUUUGAGAGGAGCUGUCCUUAGUACGAGAGGACCGGGAUGGACAUACCUCUGGUGUACCAGUUGUCGUGCCAACGGCAUAGCUGGGUAGCUAUGUGUGGACGGGAUAAGUGCUGAAAGCAUCUAAGCAUGAAGCCCCCCUCAAGAUGAGAUUUCCCAACUUCGGUUAUAAGAUCCCUCAAAGAUGAUGAGGUUAAUAGGUUCGAGGUGGAAGCAUGGUGACAUGUGGAGCUGACGAAUACUAAUCGAUCGAAGACUUAAUCAA